UUGGCAUAAUGAUGAUAACUCUAAAUUAUUCAUAUGAUAUUCAUAUGAUGAUACAAAUCCUCCUACUCAUUCUGA